GACGAACGCUGGCGGCGUGCUUAACACAUGCAAGUCGAACGGAAAGGCCCUGCUUGCAGGGUACUCGAGUGGCGAACGGGUGAGUAACACGUGGGUGAUCUGCCCUGCACUUCGGGAUAAGCCUGGGAAACUGGGUCUAAUACCGGAUAUGACCUUCCAUGUAGUGUGGGGGGUGGAAAGAUUUAUCGGUGUGGGAUGAGCCCGCGGCCUAUCAGCUUGUUGGUGGGGUAAUGGCCUACCAAGGCGUCGACGGGUAGCCGGCCUGAGAGGGUGGACGGCCACAUUGGGAUGGGGGAACGCCCCGAACCCACUCGGGGGGAAGGGGUGGGAAAUUUUCGAAGAGGGGCGGAGGCCGUAGGGAGGGGCGCCGGGUGGGGAAAGCCGGCUUUCGGGUUUGAACACUUUUUCGACAGGGACGAAGCUUCGGGACGGGUACCUGUAAAAAAAACACCGCUUACUACGUG
rnacentral:rRNA from 1 species